UACGUAGGGGGCAAGCGUUGUCCGGAAUCAUUGGGCGUAAAGCGCGUGUAGGCGGCCCGGUAAGUCCGCUGUAAAAGUCCAGGGCUCAACCCUGGAAAGCCGGUGGAUACUGUCGGGCUCGAGUCCGGAAGAGGCGAGUGGAAUUCCUGGUGUAGCGGUGAAAUGCGCAGAUAUCAGGAGGAACACCGAUGGCGAAGGCAGCUCGCUGGGACGGUACUGACGCUGAGACGCGAAAGCGUGGGGAUCAAACAGG
rnacentral:rRNA from 1 species